GAUGAACGCUGGCGGCGUGCCUAAUACAUGCAAGUCGAGCGAACGGACGAGAAGCUUGCUUCUCUGAUGUUAGCGGCGGACGGGUGAGUAACACGUGGAUAACCUACCUAUAAGACUGGGAUAACUUCGGGAAACCGGAGCUAAUACCGGAUGAUAUUUUGAACCGCAUGGUUCAAAAGUGAAAGACGGUCUUGCUGUCACUUAUAGAUGGAUCCGCGCUGCAUUAGCUAGUUGGUAAGGUAACGGCUUACCAAGGCAACGAUGCAUAGCCGACCUGAGAGGGUGAUCGGCCACACUGGAACUGAGACACGGUCCAGACUCCUACGGGAGGCAGCAGUAGGGAAUCUUCCGCAAAGGGCGAAAGCCUGACGGAGCAACGCCGCGUGAGUGAUGAAGGUCUUCGGAUCGUAAAACUCUGUUAUUAGGGAAGAACAUAUGUGUAAGUAACUGUGCACAUCCUGACGGUACCUAAUCAGAAAGCCACGGCUAACUACGUG
rnacentral:rRNA from 1 species